AAAUUGAAGAGUUUGAUCAUGGCUCAGAUUGAACGCUGGCGGCAGGCCUAACACAUGCAAGUCGAACGGUAGCACAGAGAGCUUGCUCUCGGGUGACGAGUGGCGGACGGGUGAGUAAUGUCUGGGAAACUGCCUGAUGGAGGGGGAUAACUACUGGAAACGGUAGCUAAUACCGCAUAACGUCGCAAGACCAAAGAGGGGGACCUUCGGGCCUCUUGCCAUCAGAUGUGCCCAGAUGGGAUUAGCUAGUAGGUGGGGUAACGGCUCACCUAGGCGACGAUCCCUAGCUGGUCUGAGAGGAUGACCAGCCACACUGGAACUGAGACACGGUCCAGACUCCUACGGGAGGCAGCAGUGGGGAAUAUUGCACAAUGGGCGCAAGCCUGAUGCAGCCAUGCCGCGUGUAUGAAGAAGGCCUUCGGGUUGUAAAGUACUU
rnacentral:rRNA from 1 species